UGGAGUGAUCUACACUAGAAUCACACUGAUACCGUGUAUUCAGACAGUUAAUACACCGAGUAAACCAACGAAAACACUUCUGAGACUCAUUCUUGUGCGUGAUUGUAUUCUCAAACACUUCAGUGCGGUGAGCAUUCCGAGAAACCAUUCCCAGUCAAUCGAGCCCCACGAUGAUCUCUCACAACGCACUUGCUCAAUUAUGUUGAAUUAAUUGUUCCGUUGAUGUGGAAAUAACACUAAGAAGCUAGUUUAUAUGGACUUAAUUGCUUUGUGAUUGAAGAAUAACGUACUGAUUUUCCACAGCGGGAAACGUGACAAAGGGAAGGCCUUCAGGUAUUGUUUUGGCAAGCUAGGAGAACACAUCUGACAGACAAAAAGGUUUCAUCAAAGACACACAGACAGCUCCUGAAGUAAAGGACCUACACAGGACCUUCAUAUCAAGGACAUUGACUGUGUGGAUCUCGAGGUGCAGUUACCCAAAAGUUGCUACCCACGGAAUACCAGGUUUUGAGGGAUCCUGCCAGAGCAGAGAAUCAACAGAUACAUUGAAGAGGAGACUCCGACAUGACCGCCGGCAUCUUGUGUUAUUCACCCCCACCACUUGUAAUACUGAAUGCCUGAAUUGUUGUUUGCUGCUCAGACUUUGUCAACAGAUAUGGUCUUCGACAUGUUACCCUUAGGUGUGGAAACAGAUUGUGACAGUCCAGCAAAAUGAGCCAGACAGAUAGUAACACUGAAAAAGGACAACGUUGUUCCCAUGGCCUCCCACUGCAGAAGACUACAGACGUUCAGUGAAGCACAAACAGCUGUUCCUCUUGUACUUAAUAAUUUAGUCAGCUGGAUUCUAGGUGCCACUAAGGAGCCAACAGUGGAUAAUUUUGUCAACAUUUCAAUGGCAUACAUUAAAAGGGCAGCCUGUAAUUGUUUGCCUUGCCUCCAUCUUCCUUGCCACCAAGGGAUUGUAGACCGAUGCCCUAGUCCUCCUGUUUAGGUACAACCAUGCAGUUAGGCCAGUCUAUUGAAGCACUUAUGACUGUUUGUAUGUGUUGUGUAUCUAGUAAUGGAUAAAUUACCACAUGAAUAACUGCAUAUUCAUUAUAUUGAUAAUUAUAAUGGCUUCCAUUAUUGAUUAAAAAGGGAUCUACCACCACUUGCAUUAUUGUUUUAUUAUAAAUGAAGCACUGUUAGGAAUCCAGGAAGACGGAUGCCGAGGCACUCAAGGUUGCAUUUUUUUAUUAUUAUUUUUUUUACUUUAUUUGGCUACAAUGCCUCCCUCAGCAUCUGUCUUCCUGGACCAAGUUUGACAGCCCCUACACUGAUGAGCACCAAGGAAAAAAGGUGAAGACCCAGAAGCACUCCAAUUACCUGCUUGUGUUUGAUAAUGUUAGGAUCCAUUUAUCCCACUUUAAAUGCAUGAAUAUCACUGAAAAUUGGAAUUGUUUCCAUUAUUAUUAUUAUUAUUUUAAUGUAUAUAUCAUGAAAGGUAACUUGCAUUGCCUUUUGAAGCACAGUUUAACAGUUGGACCACUUUGUAUAGCCUAUAUGAACGAUCAUUAUUGAUCUUGGAUAUUAUUGAUAUUGUAGGCCUAUUUCUAUUUGGGCUCAUGUCUUUGCCUUUGGCACCCUCAUGCAUUAUUGUUCUUCAAGAUAGAAAUUAAUCACGGUCAUUCUUAACUGUUAAGAAUCAAUCUGUCUUCCUUAGAGAGAUAUAUAUUUUAAAAACCUUAGUUUAGUACAAUUUGUGGAACGCAAGAGGACUGAUAGCUGUCCAAAUCGGCAACGUGAUUGGUUUAGCGCG